GACUUUUUAACUAUACCUAAGUAUAUAUUUUGAAAAUAUAAAAAAGAAUCUUUUUCUAAAAGUC
rnacentral:tRNA from 1 species